GUUGUUGUGGCCGAGUGGUUAAGGCGAUGGACUUGAAAUCCAUUGGGGUCUCCCUGCGUAGGUUCGAAUCCUGCCAACAAAG
rnacentral:tRNA from 1 species